AACGCCAGACAAAACUGGUUUUCACAAUGAUCGUCCAGAUGGACCUGAAGUCUGAGAUCAUUGUGAAAGCUGAUUUUGUUGA
rfam:Ixodes scapularis strain Wikel colony gcontig_1107728646374, whole genome shotgun sequence.